rnacentral:tRNA from 4 species
GCAUCGGUAGUUUAAUGGUAGAACGUCUGACUUCCAAUCAGACAGCGCGGGUUCGAUUCCCGCUCGGUGCUCC